rnacentral:tRNA from 4 species
UGAAGAGUAAACUAAGUAAAGUUUUCUGGUUCAUGCCCAGAGUAUAGAGAAAACAUCUCUCUCUUUUA